GAACGCUGCGGCAUGCCUUACACAUGCAAGUCGAACGGCAGCACGGGAGCAAUCCUGGUGGCGAGUGGCGAACGGGUGAGUAAUAUAUCGGAACGUGCCCAGUCGUGGGGGAUAACGUAGCGAAAGCUACGCUAAUACCGCAUACGAUCUAUGGAUGAAAGCGGGGGAUCGCAAGACCUCGCGCGAUUGGAGCGGCCGAUAUCAGAUUAGGUAGUUGGUGAGGUAAAGGCUCACCAAGCCGACGAUCUGUAGCUGGUCUGAGAGGACGACCAGCCACACUGGGACUGAGACACGGCCCAGACUCCUACGGGAGGCAGCAGUGGGGAAUUUUGGACAAUGGGCGCAAGCCUGAUCCAGCAAUGCCGCGUGCAGGAUGAAGGCCUUCGGGUUGUAAACUGCUUUGUACGGAACGAAACGGUGAGCUCUAAUACAGUUUGCUAAUGACGGUACCGUAAGAAUAAGCACCGGCUAACUACGUG
rnacentral:rRNA from 1 species